UCUCUAUUUCUAAAAGUCAAAGACUGUGUGAUUCUAAGACUCCACCCCUAUAGCUUAGAGAGUUAAUUUUUCUAUAAUUUCAUAAUUCCUACAUGCUAGAAUUAAAAGGUUCUAUGAUCUCACAUUUCAUUUUAUUAUAGAAUCCACCCACAGAGCCAGAAGCAGGCUUCCCCGCAUCCCCUUUGGUUAUGUUUGGGAAUCACUGCGGCUUUCCUUGCCUUCUGGCUGUUGCCGCUGUUGCCCUCUAGAUGGCGCCCAGCCUUCUGAGCAAUAGUGCAGGACACCGGCCCGGAGACUGCACAGCUCCAGAGAGCUUCGAGGGCCAAGUCUGCAGUUUGGUUGCUUCCUCCUGAAAUCAACGUGGGAGUCUUAAAAGCACGGGGAGAAUAGUCUACUCAGCAGGGAGCAUUUCGGGAUGAUGCAGCCAUUCAUAGGAAGCAUGGAGAGGCUUGAACUGGACCAUGUGGUGCUGGAGAGGCCAUUGCACUGACUGGCAAGAGAAGACCUGCUUCACCGUGGUCCACACAGUAAUUUCCCUGGCUUCACUCAAGGCUAACUGUCCUCCAGCAAAACACCCCUCUUUUCCUCUCACAGAUGAAGCAGAUGAGUAAAACUGAGGCUCCGUAAGGUACUCAUCCGAAAUCAGGCAGAAGGUAAGUGACAGAUCUAAAAGUCAUACCCAUGUUUGCCUGUCCCCAAAGCCCACAUUUUUACAAGUUGUUACAUGUUCUCUUAACUUCAAAAUGCAACAUAUUCUAGACAUAGAAUGUGUUAUAGACAGAAUUAUCUUCCCCUCAAAUUCACUCCUCAAGGUGAUUGUAUUUGGAGAUAGGGCAGUUAAAGAUGCAAUACAGUUGAAAUGAGGCUGCUAGAGUGGGCCAUAAUCCUAUCUGACUGAUGUUCUUAUAAGAAGAGGAAGAGGUACCUGAGGUGCUCGGGCAAAAGACAAAAGGCCAUGUGAAGACACAGGGAAAAGGUGGACAUCUACCCGCCAGGGAGAAAGGUCUCAGAAGAAACCAAGGCUGCUGACACUUCCAGCCUCAGAACUUCCAGCCUCAGAACUAUGAGAAAAUAUUUUCAGUUUAAACCACCCAGUCUAUGGUAUUUUGUCAUGGUAGUACUUGCCAACUAACACAGAAGGGAGCAUUGUUAGUAGGAAAAACACACAAAAAAGAUGUCAGGUGACUUGUGUCUUAUUUACUGGGCUGUUUCCAGUGCUCAUCUCCAUGUUGGUGAGAGGUGACAGCGUGCUGGCAGUCCUCAGAGCCCUCACUUGCUCUUGGCACCUCCUCUGCCUGGGCUCCCAAUUUGGCAGCAUUUGAGGAGCCCUUCAGCCCACCACUGCACUGUGGGAGCCCCUUUCUGGGCUGGCCAAGGCUGGAGCCCACUCCCUCAGCUUGCAGGGAGGUGUGGAGGGAGAGGCACGAGCGGGAACCGGGGCUGCGUGCGGCGCUUGCGGGCCAGCUGGAGUUCCGGGUGGGCGUGGGCUUGGUGGGCCCGGCACUCGGAGCAGCCAGCCAGCCCUGCUGGCCCCGGACAAUGGGGGACUUAGCACCUGGGCCAGUGGCUGCGGAGGGUGUACUGAGUCCCUCAGCAGUGCUGGCCCACCGGUGCUGCGCUCGAUUUCUCGCUGGGCCUUAGCUGCCUUCCCACGGGGCAGGGCUCGGGACCUGCAGCCCGCCAUGCCUGAGCCUCCCACCCACUCCAUGGGCUCCGGUGCGGCCCGAGCCUCCCAGACGAGCACCACCCCCUGUUCCAUGGCGCCCAGUCCCAUCGACCACCCAAGGGCUGAGGAAUGGGAGCUCACGGCGCAGGACUGGCAGGCAGCUCCAACUGCAGCCCCGGUGCGGGAUCCACUAGGUGAAGCCAGCUGGGCUCCUGAGUCUGGUGGGGACGUGGAGAGUCUUUAUAUCUAGCUCAGGGAGUGUAAAUACACCAAUCAGCACCCUGUGUUUAGCCCAAGGUUUGUGAGUGCACCAAUCGACACUCUGUAUCUAGCUGCUCUGGUGAGGAUGUGGAGAACCUUUAUAUCUAGCUCAGGGAUUGUAAAUACACCAAUCAGCACCCUGUGUUUAGCUCAAGGUUUGUGAAUGCACCAAUCGACACUCUGUAUCUAGCUGCUCUGGUGGGGCCUUGGAGAACCUGUGUGUCGAAACUCUGUAACUAAUCUGAUGGGGACGUGGAGAACCUUUGUAUCUAGCUCAGGGAUUGUAAACGCACCAAUCAGCGACCUGACAAAACAGGCCACUGGGCUCUACCAAUCAGCAGGAUGUGGGUGGGGCCAGAUAAGAGAAUAAAAGCAGGCUGCCCUAGCCAACAUUGGCAACCCACUCGGGUCCCCUUCCACACUGUGGAAGCUUUGUUCUUUUGCUGUUUGCAAUAAAUCCUGCUACUGCUCACUCUUUGGGUCCACGCUGCUUUUAUGAGCUGUAACACUCACAGCGAAGAUCUGCAGCUUCAUUCCUGAGCCCAGCGAGACCACGAGCCCACCGGGAGGAACGAACAACUCCAGACGCGUUGCCUUAAGAGCUGUAACACUCACCGCGAAGGUCUGCAGCUUCACUCCUGAGCCAGUGAGACCAGGAACCCACCAGAAGGAAGAAACUCCGAACACAUCUGAACAUCAGAAGGAACAAACUCCAGACGCGCCACCUUAAGAGCUGUAACACUCACCGCGAGGGUCCGCGGCUUCACUCUUGAAGUCAGUGAGACUAAGAACCCACCAAUUCCGGACACACUGGGUUCAUAGGGGGAGCUUAGGAAAUGGAGGGACCAGUGUUUAGAAAGCGCCUUCUCAGUCAAGAUUGAGGAUGGUGUCCUCUUCCCAGCCCUGAUGUGGCCACCAUGGUGGCACUGCAUGGCAGUGGCCUGUUUUCCCCACCAGACUGGGUGCUCCAUGAAGACUAAAGCCAAGUGUGUCUUUUUGUUCAGCUCAGGCAUAGUCCAUGACAGCGUUCUGAUAAUUACAUAUUGGCUGCAUGUUUGCAUAGCCAUGAGGUCUGUGGGGUGCCUUUCAGCUCUACAAGCCUCUUCUCUAAGGAGUUGCCCUUGGCUGGUCAAGAAGCUCAGGUGUGGGAAGUGGGUUUUACGUGGCAGUCCUGCUGGGCCCCUGCCAGAGUGCUUGGAGCCGCUAAGUCUGGGCCAUGCAGUCUGUUUACAUGAGCAUUAGGGAACAUUGCUGAGAUGUACUGUAAACAUGGGGCAGGCUGUCAGCAUUGUGCUGGUUUCUGCAUUAUCUCGGUGCCAUCUCAGAACAGAGGCAGGCCAGAAAGCCCCUGCCAAGUGGAACUGGAGCCUGAGAGAUAGGCACGAGCCUCCUAAGUCUGGCUUCCCUGCAGGGACGAGCCUUCCUGAGGGUGGGUUGGAUGUGGGUUCAUACAGCAGGGAUGCUGAGCCAAGCUCCCACUCCACUUAGGGGCUUGGACCAGGGUAAGAGAUGGAACUAACUUGUUAAAGGAAAAAAAAAAAUAGAGAAAAAAUGUGAAAGUUUUUCGCUUGAAAAUAUAGAUCAGGGUAGGUUCAAAGUCAUUGUGCUAAUUUCACCCUUAUUAUAUUUCAUUUACUUUCUUCAAUAAGAAAGCUCUUCCUGGAUUUUAGCUGAAUCCAGAAUUGUGCCUUAUCAUGAGUGUGCCACAACAGAGGCAGAAAGACUGAGAGCCAUUGAACUAACUGAGCAGGCCAUGCAGAAUCAUUUAAGGGCUCUUGGAAGGCUUCUUUCUCCCAGAUAAUUCCUUCCCGGAGGCCUAAAAGUCUUCUCUUUGAGUUGUUUUUCUCUAAGAACUUAACCGUGGUCAUAGCCUCCUGAUGGGUGGUCCCAGUGGUGAGCCUGAUGACCUGGCUCUGCUGCCCAGUGCUGCGGCUUUGUAGGCGUGUCUCCUUGGGCUGGUCCCCGGAUGGGGAUCCUGCUUUGUCCUCAGUUUCCUCACUGGUGAAAUGAAGAGUUUGGUCUAGAAUCAUGACUUUCUCUGCCUCUAUGAAUUGAGAGCAAAGAUACCUCCAUCUGGAUGUUAUAGCUCCUCAUGCCAAAUAUCAAGUGUUUGGCAAAAUCAAGGCAUUCUUGCAGAGGUGACUGAGGUGGGAACUAUGGCAGUUCAUCUGCGUGGUGCAUAUGGUAAGGCAAGUGUGUGGGGUGGGUAAGAGGAGUGGGCAUGAGGCCCCCAGGCCAGGCAUCAUAUUGUGUGUGACCAGCACCUGGACCAGCUCUGGGGACAUGGGUUCUGGUCCUGAUUCCAAUAUUUGAAACCAAGAUGGGUCAUAAGAUUGAUUUGUAGCCAAUAGAAUGUAGGCUGCAAUGAUGUACACUGCUUCUAUGCCCUUACAACCUUGUAUGAACCUCCAUGUUCUCCUCACCUUUUCUUUUGUCUUCCCUUAUCCACCUUUCCUUUC